AGCGUACACGGUGGAUGCCCUGGCAGUCAGAGGCGAUGAAGGACGUGCUAAUCUGCGAUAAGCGUCGGUAAGGUGAUAUGAACCGUUAUAACCGGCGAUUUCCGAAUGGGGAAACCCAGUGUGAUUCGUCACACUAUCAUUAACUGAAUCCAUAGGUUAAUGAGGCGAACCGGGGGAACUGAAACAUCUAAGUACCCCGAGGAAAAGAAAUCAACCGAGAUUCCCCCAGUAGCGGCGAGCGAACGGGGAGGAGCCCAGAGCCUGAAUCAGUGUGUGUGUUAGUGGAAGCGUCUGGAAAGGCGCGCGAUACAGGGUGACAGCCCCGUACACAAAAAUGCACAUAUUGUGAGCUCGAUGAGUAGGGCGGGACACGUGGUAUCCUGUCUGAAUAUGGGGGGACCAUCCUCCAAGGCUAAAUACUCCUGACUGACCGAUAGUGAACCAGUACCGUGAGGGAAAGGCGAAAAGAACCCCGGCGAGGGGAGUGAAAAAGAACCUGAAACCGUGUACGUACAAGCAGUGGGAGCACGCUUAGGCGUGUGACUGCGUACCUUUUGUAUAAUGGGUCAGCGACUUAUAUUCUGUAGCAAGGUUAACCGAAUAGGGGAGCCGAAGGGAAACCGAGUCUUAACUGGGCGUUAAGUUGCAGGGUAUAGACCCGAAACCCGGUGAUCUAGCCAUGGGCAGGUUGAAGGUUGGGUAACACUAACUGGAGGACCGAACCGACUAAUGUUGAAAAAUUAGCGGAUGACUUGUGGCUGGGGGUGAAAGGCCAAUCAAACCGGGAGAUAGCUGGUUCUCCCCGAAAGCUAUUUAGGUAGCGCCUCGUGAAUUCAUCUCCGGGGGUAGAGCACUGUUUCGGCAAGGGGGUCAUCCCGACUUACCAACCCGAUGCAAACUGCGAAUACCGGAGAAUGUUAUCACGGGAGACACACGGCGGGUGCUAACGUCCGUCGUGAAGAGGGAAACAACCCAGACCGCCAGCUAAGGUCCCAAAGUCAUGGUUAAGUGGGAAACGAUGUGGGAAGGCCCAGACAGCCAGGAUGUUGGCUUAGAAGCAGCCAUCAUUUAAAGAAAGCGUAAUAGCUCACUGGUCGAGUCGGCCUGCGCGGAAGAUGUAACGGGGCUAAACCAUGCACCGAAGCUGCGGCAGCGACGCUGAUGCGUUGUUGGGUAGGGGAGCGUUCUGUAAGCCUGCGAAGGUGUGCUGUGAGGCAUGCUGGAGGUAUCAGAAGUGCGAAUGCUGACAUAAGUAACGAUAAAGCGGGUGAAAAGCCCGCUCGCCGGAAGACCAAGGGUUCCUGUCCAACGUUAAUCGGGGCAGGGUGAGUCGACCCCUAAGGCGAGGCCGAAAGGCGUAGUCGAUGGGAAACAGGUUAAUAUUCCUGUACUUGGUGUUACUGCGAAGGGGGGACGGAGAAGGCUAUGUUGGCCGGGCGACGGUUGUCCCGGUUUAAGCGUGUAGGCUGGUUUUCCAGGCAAAUCCGGAAAAUCAAGGCUGAGGCGUGAUGACGAGGCACUACGGUGCUGAAGCAACAAAUGCCCUGCUUCCAGGAAAAGCCUCUAAGCAUCAGGUAACAUCAAAUCGUACCCCAAACCGACACAGGUGGUCAGGUAGAGAAUACCAAGGCGCUUGAGAGAACUCGGGUGAAGGAACUAGGCAAAAUGGUGCCGUAACUUCGGGAGAAGGCACGCUGAUAUGUAGGUGAAGUCCCUCGCGGAUGGAGCUGAAAUCAGUCGAAGAUACCAGCUGGCUGCAACUGUUUAUUAAAAACACAGCACUGUGCAAACACGAAAGUGGACGUAUACGGUGUGACGCCUGCCCGGUGCCGGAAGGUUAAUUGAUGGGGUUAGCCGCAAGGCGAAGCUCUUGAUCGAAGCCCCGGUAAACGGCGGCCGUAACUAUAACGGUCCUAAGGUAGCGAAAUUCCUUGUCGGGUAAGUUCCGACCUGCACGAAUGGCGUAAUGAUGGCCAGGCUGUCUCCACCCGAGACUCAGUGAAAUUGAACUCGCUGUGAAGAUGCAGUGUACCCGCGGCAAGACGGAAAGACCCCGUGAACCUUUACUAUAGCUUGACACUGAACAUUGAGCCUUGAUGUGUAGGAUAGGUGGGAGGCUUGGAAGUGUGGACGCCAGUCUGCAUGGAGCCGACCUUGAAAUACCACCCUUUAAUGUUUGAUGUUCUAACGUUGACCCGUAAUCCGGGUUGCGGACAGUGUCUGGUGGGUAGUUUGACUGGGGCGGUCUCCUCCUAAAGAGUAACGGAGGAGCACGAAGGUUGGCUAAUCCUGGUCGGACAUCAGGAGGUUAGUGCAAUGGCAUAAGCCAGCUUGACUGCGAGCGUGACGGCGCGAGCAGGUGCGAAAGCAGGUCAUAGUGAUCCGGUGGUUCUGAAUGGAAGGGCCAUCGCUCAACGGAUAAAAGGUACUCCGGGGAUAACAGGCUGAUACCGCCCAAGAGUUCAUAUCGACGGCGGUGUUUGGCACCUCGAUGUCGGCUCAUCACAUCCUGGGGCUGAAGUAGGUCCCAAGGGUAUGGCUGUUCGCCAUUUAAAGUGGUACGCGAGCUGGGUUUAGAACGUCGUGAGACAGUUCGGUCCCUAUCUGCCGUGGGCGCUGGAGAACUGAGGGGGGCUGCUCCUAGUACGAGAGGACCGGAGUGGACGCAUCACUGGUGUUCGGGUUGUCAUGCCAAUGGCACUGCCCGGUAGCUAAAUGCGGAAGAGAUAAGUGCUGAAAGCAUCUAAGCACGAAACUUGCCCCGAGAUGAGUUCU
rnacentral:rRNA from 1 species